CGUGCUAAGGUAGCAUAAUCGCUUGCCCUUUAAUUGGGGGCUUGUAUGAAUGGACACACGAGAGUUAUACUGUCUCAUUUAAACCACUAAAAAUUAUCCUUCAGGUGAAGAGACCUGAAUAAAAUAGCAAGACAAAAAGACCCUGCAGAGCUUUAUUAUUAAACUAACACAACAUAAUACUAAAAGUAUAUAUAAAGUCAACUAGUUUUCUAAUUUGGUUGGGGCGACAGAGGACCACCCAAAACGUCCUCUAAAUAAAAAGACACAUUUGUCACCAAAAGACUCAUUAGACAACUUGUUUAAGAAGCAUAAGCUACCUCAGGGAUAACAGGCUAAUAUCCCCUUAAGAGUCCAAAUUGACAGGGGAGCUUGGCACCUCG
rnacentral:rRNA from 1 species